rnacentral:rRNA from 1 species
UCUGGCCUGCCCAAUGAGAAUUUUUAAAUGGCCGCAGUAUAUUGACUGUGCAAAGGUAGCAUAAUCAUUAGUUUUUUGAUUGAGAACUGGAAUGAAAGGUUUGAUGAGAAAAUAUCUGUCUCUAAAAAAAUUUAUUAGAAUUUUAUUUUUAAGUUAAAAAGCUUAAAUAUGUAUAGAAGACGAGAAGACCCUAUAGAGUUUUAUAUUUGUAGUAAAUUAAAUUUUUUGGGUAAAUGAUUUUUUAAUUUUUUAUGAAUAUUUUGUUGGGGUGAUAGAAAAAUUAAAUAAACUUUUUUUUGUCUAAAAACAUUAAUUUAUGAUUUAAUGAUCCUAUAAUUUAGAUUAUAAGAAAAAAUUACCUUAGGGAUAACAGCGUAAUUUUUUCUAGAGUUCUUAUCGAAAGAAAAGAUUGCGACCUCGAUGUUGGAUUAAAAUAAAUUUUUGGUGAAGAAGCUAGAAAAUUAGGUCUGUUCGACCUUUGAAAUUUUACAUGAUCUGAGUUUAAACCGGUGUGAGCCAGGUCGGUU